UCAUAAUGCCGGCUAAUAUUUCAAGACGCAUCUUGCCACAUGGCAUAAACACAGGGGGGGCGGGGGGUGUUUCAUCAUUACAUAGGUGUAUGUGCGCCCCUAUUGAACAGCUGAGUGUUAUAACACCCACACGGUCAAUUAUGACAAUUAAUAAAUGGCUUCCUUAACUGGGCAGCUAAUAAUUCAUCAUGGUUGUAUUCUGACAACGCAAGGCGGCUUUGCAAACCUUCUCUGAGGGCAACUUCUAACUGCACUGUUUGAAAUCUGUUCUAAAAAAUAUUUUUAAAUAUAUACAGUAUAUAUAUAGAUAUAAAAGAAAGAUAAGAGAUUCACAAAUACAGCCCACAACAAUAACAAACAUUUUUAACUUGAUUUUUUUUUUAUUUAAUAUUUGGAUUGUGCACUAUUCCCUCGGGCGCUCAUACGCCACAAAUUACAGCCUACCAAAAUUGCCCCUCAAUAAAUCAAGGCUCCUUUUCAAAUACCUUCAAUAAAAAGUUAUUAUAAUGAUGACGAUGCUUGAGGGGAUUCACCGGAGGGACAUUUUCUUUUUUUUUUUUCAAGGUGCAAAGUGGUGCAAAUAAAAACAGACAAAUGACGUUAAGCGAUGUCUGUCAUUACCUGAGAAAGUUCUAUCUAAAAAAAAAAAACAAGCUCACAUACUGAACAUACGUGAGUUGCACGGUGUGCGACCUUGUGGCGGCUACAUUGCAAAGCAUUUUUCAAGAGGUGCUGGGAGAGGGUGCGCAGUGUGCAACAAGUGAGUAAAAGUCUCUCUCCCUCUCGCGCUCUCUCUCUCUCUCGCUUGCAGCCAUGAAGAUUAGAUAUGGCUCCCAACAGGCCCUGGGAGCCCUAAUCAAAUGGGAAAUGUAAGGCGAGACUCAACUCUGUAGCAACACAACGCUGGAUAAAAAUGUCUGUGACAUCAUCACCUACUGGCUACAUCAAGCAACAAACUGACCCGGAGCUGUACGAUCGCAACACACUUGACUGCACCUCCAACCAUGUAGCCUCAAGAUAAGCAUGAGCAUAACCUCCAUGGGAACUCCUAUCUACCGCUCCGAGGAAGGAUCUCCAAAACAAAGCCCCGAGAACCCCGCGAGGUCCUCAAAAGUAAGACGGCACCGCGACUCAUCACGAGCGAGCAGAUUCAAAGCCCUUUAGUUGUGCCUAAUUGAAUGCGGCGCAGGAGAA